CAAUGGGCGAAAGCCUGAUCCAGCAAUGCCGCGUGCAGGAUGAAGGCCUUCGGGUUGUAAACUGCUUUUGUACGGAACGAAAAAGCUUCUCCUAAUACGAGAGGCCCAUGACGGUACCGUAAGAAUAAGCACCGGCUAACUACGUGCCAGCAGCCGCGGUAAUACGUAGGGCGCAAGCGUUAUCCGGAAUUAUUGGGCGUAAAGAGCUCGUAGGCGGUUUGUCGCGUCUGCUGUGAAAUCCCGAGGCUCAACCUCGGAACUGCCUUUCAUACUGGCAAUCUUGAGUCCGGGAGAGGUGAGUGGAACUCCUAGUGUAGAGGUGAAAUUCGUAGAUAUUCGCAAGAACACCGGUGGCGAAGGCGGCCAACUGGUCCGAAACUGACGCUGAGGCGCGAAAGCGUGGGGAGCAAACAGG
rnacentral:rRNA from 1 species